UACGUAGGCAGCAAGCGUUGUUCGGAGUUACUGGGCGUAAAGGGUGUGUAGGCGGUUUUCUAAGUCUGGUGUGAAAUCUCCCGGCUCAACUGGGAGGGUGCGCCGAAAACUGGAAGGCUAGAGUGCGGGAUGGGAGAGUGGAAUUCCUGGUGUAGCGGUGAAAUGCGUAGAUAUCAUUUGGAACGCCAAUGGUGAAAACAGGUAGCUGGGGCUGUGCUGACACUGAGACACGAAAGCCAGGGGAGCAAACGGG
rnacentral:rRNA from 1 species